rnacentral:rRNA from 1 species
AAUAGAUACCCCGGUAGUCCUAGCCGUAAACGAUGGACACUAGUUGCUGGAAGAGUCAAUCCUUCGGUGACGAAGCUAACGCAUUAAGUGUCCCGCCUGGGAAGUACGCCCGCAAGGGUGAAACUCAAAGGAAUUGACGGGGGCCCGCACAAGCGGUGGAGCAUGUGCUUUAAUUCGAUGCAACGCGAAGAACCUUACCUAGAUUUGACAUGGGGGUGAAAUUCUGUAGAAAUAUGGAACCUUCCGCAAGGAACACCCUACACAGGUGCUGCAUGGUUGUCGUCAGCUCGUGUCGUGAGAUGUUAGGUUAAGUCCUGCAACGAGCGCAACCCUGCCCUUAGUUGCCAUCAGGUAAUGCUGGGAACUCUAAGGGGACCGCCUGGUUUAACCAGGAGGAAGGUGGGGAUGACGUCAAAUCCGUCAUGGCCCUUAGUCUAGGGCUAGACACGUGCUACAAUGGUAGAUACAGCGGGAUGCAAGCUGGUGACAGCAAGCCAAUCCCUUAAAAUCUAUCUCAGUCCGGA